rnacentral:rRNA from 1 species
GACGAACGCUGGCGGCGUGCUUAACACAUGCAAGUCGAACGGAAAGGCCCCUUCGGGGGUACUCGAGUGGCGAACAGGUGAGUAACACGUGAGUAACCUGCCCUUGACUUCGGGAUAACUUCAGGAAACUGGGGCUAAUACCGGAUAGGAAUCAUUGCUCCAUGGGGGGGGUGGGAAAGCUUCGGCGGUUUUGGGUGGAUUCGCGGCCUAUUGGCUUGUUGGUGGGGUAGUGGCUUACCAAGGCUUUGACGGGUAGCCGGCCUGAGAGGGCGACCGGCCACAUUGGGACUGAGAGACGGCCCAGACUCCUACGGGAGGCAGCAGUGGGGAAUAUUGCACCAUGGGCGGCAGCCUGAUGCAGCAACGCCGCGUGCGGGAUGACGGCCUUCGGGUUGUAGACCGCUUUCAGCAGGAGCGAAGCUUGUGGUGACGGUACCUGCAGAAGAAGCACCGGCUAACUACGUG